GAUAGGCUAAUUAAGGGCGUAUGGGGAAUGCCUAGGCUCUCAGAGGCGAUGAAGGACGUGAUAAGCUGCGAAAAGUUACGGGGAAUGGCACACACAUUUUGAUCCGUAAAUAUCCGAAUAGGGCAACCUGGUUAUUUGAAGAAUAAUCAUCCAUCUUGUAUGGAAGCAAACCCGGAGAACUGAAACAUCUAAGUACCCGGAGGAAGAGAAAACAAUAGUGAUUCCGCUAGUAGUGGCGAGCGAACGCGG
rnacentral:rRNA from 1 species